AUUGAACGCUGGCGGCAGGCCUAACACAUGCAAGUCGAGCGAGUGGCGGACGGGUGAGUAAUGUAUGGGUACUUCCCGCUAGCGGGGGGUAACUACUGGAAACGGUAGCCUAUUCCGCAUAGCAUCGGAUAACCCAUAUGGGAUUAGCUAGUAGGUGAGGUAAUGGCUUACCUAGGCUACGACCCCUAGCUGGUCUGAGAGGAUGAUCAGCCACACGGCGACUGAGACACGGACCAGACUCCUAAGGAGGCAGCAGUGAAGAAUAUUGCACAAUGAGCGGAAGCCUAUAGCGGCCAAGGCGCGUGUAUGAAAAGCGCCCUAGGGUCGUAAAGUACGUCCCGUCUGGAGGCGUUACCGACAGAAGAAGCACCGGCUAACUCCGUGCCAGCAGCCGCGGUAAUAC
rnacentral:rRNA from 1 species